CCCUUAGAUGUUCUGGGCCGCACGCGCGCUACACUGACGAAGUCAGCGAGCAUGUCCUACGCCGACAGGUGCGGGGAAUCUUGUCAAACUUCGUCGUGAUGGGGAUUGAUUUUUGAAAUUCUUGAUCAUAAACGAGGAAUUCCUAGUAAGCGCAAGUCAGCAGCUUGCGUUGAUUACGUCCCUGCCCUUUGUACACACCGCCCGUCGCUACUACCGAUUGAAUGGUUUAGUGAGAUCUUCGGAUUGGCGCCACUGCAGCUCAGCAAUGGGCUUGGUGGAUGCCGAAAAGUUGAUCAAACUUGAUCAUUUAGAGGAAGCAAAAGUCGUAACA
rnacentral:rRNA from 1 species